UACGUAGGGGGCAAGCGUUGUCCGGAAUCAUUGGGCGUAAAGAGCGUGUAGGCGGUCCGGUCAGUCGGUUGUGAAAGUCAAGGGCUCAACCCUUGAAUGCCGGCCGAUACUGCCGGGCUAGAGUCCGGAAGAGGUGAGUGGAAUUCCUGGUGUAGCGGUGAAAUGCGCAGAUAUCAGGAGGAACACCGAUGGCGAAGGCAGCUCACUGGGACGGUACUGACGCUGAGACGCGAAAGCGUAGGGAGCAAACAGG
rnacentral:rRNA from 1 species